AGUGUAGAGGUACUUGUACUGAGUGCAGAGAGGUACUUGUACUGAGUGCAGAGGUACUUGUACCGAGUAUAGAGGUACUUGUACUAAGUGCAGAGAGAUACUUGUACUGAGUACAGAGAGGUAUUUGUGCUGAUGGCACCGAAAGUUGUGUUUUUCUCUGUCAAGCAGGAUGCUUAUGAUCUCCAAGCAAUGGACGGGAGGGAAUGUUAAGAACAGAGAACCCCUGUGGGUGCAGCAUUUCCCCAUGGUUAUAUUCUGCCAGAUGUUUUGUUCCAAGUCUCUUUCUGAGUAGCAUUGUUCUCCAGUCUACUGUAGGCUUUAAAGUACACAUUUUAUAGAAAAUUGUACUUCAAGCAUUAUCGGGAACACCAUGUCCUGGUUGCUUAUAUUCAUGCAGCUGGCAUGCAGAGAAAAUAAAGGUAUGGAGUCCCUUCAUUAAGGUUUCAGUGGCCCUAUUAAAAGCCCCCUCUGGUCAAUAACCCUGGGAAGGGUUUGGCUUUAUGUUAAGUCAGGGAAUUCAGUAUAGAGUUCUCUAAUAACAACCAUGAGAAGAAUAAGACUUCAAUUAAUCUGUUCCUUUUAAAUACAUUCUAGUAAAUGACUGUGGUAGAAUCAAGCCGGGGCCAUGCUUCACUCUGCAAGGUAUUCAUUUCCUUUCAUGUAAUAUUUUUUUAAUCGCUCUCUAAUUCUCAUACCCCAGGAGAAAUAAUGAUAUAGUUCUCAUGUAAUUAUGACUUUCCUGUGUUCACUGGAACACAAAGCAGCAACUAAAUCAGUCAGAUUAGAAAAAUUUUAGAGUUGUGGGGGUUAGAGGGGCAGACAUCACCUUAGCCUCCAGGUUUGGAUUCAAUUUCUUGGUAACAUUUUGAGAUGGAAUUGUUGCAGAGUGUGGAUGGAAUGGAGAAGUGUGCGGAUCAGUGGGCCGUUCUAUGCACAGUUCAAUGUUUAGAAUCUCUGUAUGUUGCCAGAAGAGAGGGCCCUAGUAGACUUCAUUUUUUUUUUUUCUUGCUGGCUAUGUGCCCUGUUUUGGCUGUAAAGAAUGCACACGAAAGCUAUUUUUUUUCCAGUUUCAACUCAGCCAUGACCCCCCUGCCCCACCCCCAUUUUUUGUGCUGGAUUAAUGAAUAUAAAAUGCAAUUGACAGUGAGAGUCUAAACCAAAGUAUGAAGCUCCCACGGCCUCAGAAUGACCAUCCUAAGUGGACAGGCAUUCACUAAGAUGCAUAUCUUAGUUUGGGACUGGACAACCAUUUGAGUGUGUUCUUCAGUCUAUCUGUGUGAUGUUUCAAUUUGUGAAUUUGUCAAAAUGAAGUGAUUCCAUUUAAUAAAAAUUCUUUUAGAAAGAACUUUCGAUGCCACAUCUUUGCAUGUAAUUCCUGUACAGUGUAUGCAGUUGGAACAGACUGACCAAAGCAGCCACUCAGAGCAACCUGUAAAGGUUUUGAAGAAACAGUUCCCUCAUCAGAUUUAGUGAACUCUACCAAGCAGCCAUCAACGAUCUUUCCCAGUGUUAUCUCUACAUAUGCUUAAGGAGGUUUUUAUUUUAAAGCCUUUCGGGAUCUACAGAGUGAAUACUUUUUAAAUAGUUGUUACUGAGAAAGAGAAGUGCCUUAAGUAUUCAGUAAAGAGCUGCAGGUUUUUUUUUUCUGCUUCAAAUCCAGAAGCUUCAUGUAUCAUUCAUGCACAAAAUUGACUAAGCCUUGUAUCUAUACUCCCAAAACAACCUGUCAGCUCAGAGAAAAUAAUCAGUCAAAACAGUUAUUUGGUGUCAGGUAGAAGUGAAUUUUCUGUUUUCAACAGGGUUUGUUGGUGUCACGGAGCUGCUGACUCAAAGCACAUUUAUUCCAAAAUUAUUAUCCUUUUUGGGAAAUAGCACCAUUCCCCAGCCUGGAAGACAGAUGAAGGGCUGUUCAAGGCCACGAUAGAGAGAUGGAUGUUGAACUUAAAUGGACACUGGGCUAAACAAGCCCUACCCCACUCAUGUAUGCUCUUAUGCAUUCCACUGCUAAACUUGGGUGUUCCAGGAUGGUUUUACAGUCAGACCCUCAUGCAGGAUGUAGCUCUAACACCCACAAAUGUGACGGUAAUCCGUGUCUGUAGCAUCCCCCUGGGGCUCCUGGACAUGCUCCAAUAUAUAUCUAACAUAAAGCCUAGUGUACUUGACAUUAAUCAGCUUUAUUCUGGUUCAUUAUGUGUCCCAAGCAGGUCCUGUCUCUGUACUCUUUCUGCUCAACUUAAGGAAAUUAUCAUUCCUGAAUUGCAUGGGUAUUUUUCCUUCAGCCUCUUUUAUUAAAACAUUUUGCAGCACCCCCUCUCCCCCAUUUUAAUUUAAAAUUGUGUUGCCUCUGGGUAAAGAUGAGUUUAAUACUAUCUCUACAUAAAGCUACACAGAGAUAGGUUAGGAUCAACUUAUCAGAACCAGUGAAAUUUAAUCUCUUAAGGCAGGAAAAAAAUGAUCCUCUGUGUGGGAUUCUCUGCCUUUGGCAGUUAAUAAUUCCUCAGAGCAAAUGACUCAGGAGUCAGACAGGUGACGAGAAUUAUUUUCCUGUGGGGAUACUGAUGCAUGCUGGGAAGUCACGGGCUCUCCAGCAUAAAUCUAUGUGUAACAAUAGAGAUUUGUAAAUGCUGAUGUCUUAGCUCAUUUGAAUGUGAUGCUUUUGAUGCUGGCUUAAACAACUUACGCAGCGUUUCCCUUGAAAUUUUGAAACUGGAGCAUCUUUCAUGAUGUUCUGUCCUCUACUGACCCCCUCCCUUAUACAGAAGGCAGGGAAUGACAGUGGGCAGAAGAACACUAAUCUGAAGACUGGCGCUCAAGGGAAGAGCUACGUGGGUACUCCUUUCUAACCUCAGAGGCAACAGAUAGGAGCAGACCCAGAUAUACAUUCUAUCCUUUUCUGCUCUAUAGUUUGUCUUUCAAAAUAGAAAGCAUUGAAAUCCCUCCAUGAAUCUCCCUACAGUGAACUAGUCAGAAGCCAUUGAAAACAGGGGUUUCCUGUUGAUUAGUGACAAAAACAUGCAGGACAUCAUGAAUGAUGGGCCAGCUGGGUCACGUGUCUAAGCUCUGUGUAGUAAAGGAGAAAGUAUUUGUGUGUAUGUGUAUGAAGACAGAAUGCAUGUGUACGCAUGUUUAUAUGUGUCUGUGUUUAUGUUUGCAUGUGUGUAUUGUGCAUAACAUUGUGGCAUGCUCACUGCAGAAGGAGGGAGUUCGCUGGCUGGUGGGUGGAUUUAGAACAGCAGAAAUCACAGCCUCAGUGCAGCUUUGUGAUCUGUCAUUUAUGAAAGCAUUUUGAUUCCUAAGGCAUGAGUCACUGUCCAAAAAUUUGUCGCAUAGAACUGUGUCUUGUGCUGUGGUUAAAAAGAUGUAUACAAUCAGUGUCAAAAGAAAUAAUAGCUCGCAAAAACAGAGCAUCACACCGGACGACAUCCUGUGGUGUUCUGAAUGACAGACAGGAGUUUCCUCUUCCAUAAGACCUUUACCAAGAAGCCCAUGCUCUCUGGGGAGCAAGAGUUAUCAUGAGCAGUUUGACUUUUCAGGGCUAUAGGAAACCUCUCCCAAUCCCUCAUUCUCCUCUCUCAUUAAUCAGGCAGGACAUGAUCAUAUGCAAGUGCCAGCAUU
rnacentral:lncRNA from 1 species